GUGCACGCUGGCGGUAGGCCUAACACAUGCAAGUCGCACGGCAGCACAGUAAGAGCUUGCUCUUACGGGUGGCGAGUGGCGGACGGGUGAGGAAUACAUCGGAAUCUACUUUUUCGUGGGGGAUAACGUAGGGAAACUUACGCUAAUACCGCAUACGACCUACGGGUGAAAGCAGGGGAUCUUCGGACCUUGCGCGAUUGAAUGAGCCGAUGUUGGAUUAGCUAGUUGGCGGGGUAAAGGCCCACCAAGGCGACGAUCCGUAGCUGGUCUGAGAGGAUGAUCAGCCACACUGGAACUGAGACACGGUCCAGACUCCUACGGGAGGCAGCAGUGGGGAAUAUUGGACAAUGGGCGCAAGCCUGAUCCAGCCAUACCGCGUGGGUGAAGAAGGCCUUCGGGUUGUAAAGCCCUUUUGUUGGGAAAGAAAAGCAGCAGGUUAAUACCCCGCUGUUCUGACGGUACCCAAAGAAUAAGCACCGGCUAACUUCGUG
rnacentral:rRNA from 1 species